UACAGAGGGUGCGAGCGUUGUCCGGAAUCACUGGGCGUAAAGGGCGCGUAGGCGGUCUGCUAAGCGUGCGGUGAAAGCCCGGGGCUCAACCCCGGGUCGGCCGUGCGAACUGGUGGACUGGAGCUUGUCAGAGGCAGGCGGAAUUCCGGGUGUAGCGGUGGAAUGCGUAGAGAUCCGGAAGAACACCGGUGGCGAAGGCGGCCUGCUGGGACAGUGCUGACGCUGAGGCACGAAGGUCAGGGGAGCAAACGGG
rnacentral:rRNA from 1 species